GGCUGGGGGUGGGGGGUGUUGGACCAUUAGGGUAACCCCUCCUGCAGGCAAGGCAUGCCCCAGAAUCUGGACCCUUUCCUUUCCUGAGCAGGCGCAGCGCUUGUUGCCUCCCUUUUCCCAGCCAGCCAGGUUGUUGGCGAGUUAGACCUCCCAGCCUCACGGGGCUGCUGUGCGGCUGCGGCGACGCUGGCGACUGCGGCGCUGCAGCAGAGACAAGGGCUCCAGAGGAGGCUCCACACCGAGGGAAAAGCUGCUGAAGACUGCAGAAGUGGAGCAGGUUGGGCUGUAAAUUGACUGAGGCUGGAAGAGUGGAGAAGACCUGCAGGGAGAUUUGAGGGGAACCCUGAGCAAGCUUCUCUGAAGCAGGGGGACUGGUGAUUGUAUCUGGAAGCGCCCAUGACAGAGCUGGUGUCCUCCAGGGGAGGGUCUCCUACGGGGGACGGGGAGGAGAGUUUAGGAGACGAUCAAGGUCUGGUUAUUCACCACCCGGCGGAGGAACAGUCCCACCGCUGCCCACUGUGCGGCCAGACCUUCUCCCAGCAGCCCAGCCUGGUGCGGCACCAGAAGGCACACGUGGGGGCCGGUCGCACCGCCGCCUUCGUGUGUCCCGAGUGCGGCAAGGCCUUCAGCGUCAAACACAACCUGGAGGUGCACCAGCGCACACACACCGGAGAGAGGCCCUUCCCUUGCCCCGAGUGCGGCCGCUGCUUCAGCCUCAAGCAGAACCUGCUCACGCACCAGCGCAUCCACAGCGGCGAAAAGCCGCACCAGUGUGCCCAGUGUGGUCGCUGCUUCCGUGAGCCGCGCUUUCUGCUCAACCACCAGCGCACCCACGCGCGUAUGCCGACGCCGCACCCGCGCCGUCCAGGUGUCUUCGGGGAGCGGCGGCCCUACUUCUGCCCUCGCUGCGGCAAGAGCUUCGCGCGUGAGGGCUCGCUCAAGGCCCACCAGCGCAGCCAUGGUCAUGGGCCUGAGAGCCAGGCGGCCCAUUUAGGCCGCGUGCUAUGAAAGGCCUGCCACCAUCAACUGCCUCCAAUUCAGGAGUCACAACCAAGGGUGCUGAGUUGCCCCCUCUCUGGAUGGGUUUAUGGGAGAGAGGUGGGGUGUUGAAAGGGCUUGAGCCAUCCCCUUUCCUUCCUCUCCCUGGACCCUUUGGCUGGCUGCAUGAAUCUGCUUUGGGCACCUGGCUUGCCUCCUCAGGCUCCUAGAGCAGCACCUCAGACUUGAAAACGACUCGGAGAGGGCCACUUUCCACAGUCUCCCGGCCAAAGCUUGGUCCCCAAAGCCUCAGCCUCCUGUAACCACUGCCUGGUGGCCUCGAGAAGCCAUUUCACUCCAUGUCUCAAUUGCUUACCUACACAAUGGUCAGGACCUCAUGGCCCAGGACAUGCAGGGCAUAUCUGUGCAUGGAGACCAAAAAUGAAGUCCCAUGGUGUCCUGGCAUCCUGGCAUGAGAAUGUGUCUCCUCAGAAGACUUACCUCUGGAGGUGCCCCGUGUUGGUAAAGCUGGCAAGUAGAGGCUGGGUCCAGGCCUAGGUGGAAAACUUACAGCUGGUCAAGCCUCCUUUUGGCUUCCUGACCCUAGACUUCAACUCAGGUGUGGAGAUAGCGCCUGUGUGGAGAGCUGGCUUUCUCUCUUCCAGCCCUGCCCACCACUUGGUUGAAGGGCAGAGAUAAGAAGUGACCGGUCUGAGUUAUCACAGCAAGUUGAUGGCAGACCUGGCUUGAGAGACAAAACUUCCCUCAAGAUGUGAGCCGCACCCAAAGGCUACUGUGCCCUUUCUGAACUAGAAUGGUUAAGACUUCGGGGACAUGUGACCCUUUAAAUUCUGAUGGAGGCUGUGGCCCUUCUAGGAGAAUUUACAUACUCAUGUAGCUCUCACAAUGCCAGGGAGUCUCAGGAGCCUCGUGACUCCAGACUGAAGACCUCAGCCCUGGGCGGUUCAUCUGCCAUCCUUUUCUUACUCCAUACAGGUGUGUCUCUCCUGGUCUCUUCUUGUUUGGGAAUAAAGACUUCUGAGGCUGAGCCCCUUUUAGUCUGUCCAUCCCGUCCUCCCAAUCUAGCAAUACAUCUGGUUUCUAGAACCCGAUCUCCCUCCCCCAGCAUUGCCCAAGGCUCCUGGGCUUGUCUGCCUUCUCCCUUUCUGUGACUGACACACUGUGAGAUUUUACAAUGGAGCCUUGUAAGGCUAGAAAGCCCGGCUUGACCUUGGCUCUGAUUUCACUGUGGAGUCUCAAGGGAAGGCUGGACUGCUGAAGGGUUGGUGAAUCAUUUGCUCUGUGUCUGCCCCAAGGAGUAGGGAUCCUGUUUCCUUUAGCCACAUGCAACCGAUCAGGCCUCUUGGCUGGCCAGGUGUCUGCUCCAGGCAGGCAUCACCUGGGAAUGUGAGGGGAGAAAGCACCAGAAGCCCUGGGUAUAGGCAGAGGGAGAAACUUGUGGAGGAGUUGUGUAUGUCCCAUAAGUAAGCAGGGGUACAGGUAGGGGGUGUGGGUCUUGGGUCACUGUUGGUCAAGGACUCCUGUCUUCGCAAGUGAGCAAGUCAACUGGGUCGGGGCACAGAUGUUUCUCUUCCCCAGAAUGAACCACUCAUUAGGAAAGGAGGGUCUCCCUUUCCUGUACUAGGACUUGCUAGAAACCUGUGGAUUUCUAACCUGGGGUCUUACUGCCUGCAUCUCCCAUGCACAUUCUUAAUGAAUCCCUAUGCCUUAUUCUGGGGUCACUGAGUGCAGGGGAGGCAGUCUCCACACCCCAGGAGCUUCCACGCACCUCUUUUCCUUGGCUAAUCUAGAGGAGACCUCGCCAUGCCCCUCAGCUAAUUGCCCAGCUUGUCUCUUCCCUGCUGUAACUCUGUCAUGCCUUCCCCGUUCUGCUCUGAAACCUUCAUCCCCCCCCCCGCCAGACUUCCCCCCCUUAUUCGCCAGGGCUGAGCCUCCCAGCCCACCUGGCCUUUGCUCUCUCUGUACCACACUCGCGUUAACACGCGGCGUCUCCCUUGUGUACUGUGAUGUGUAGUCUUGUGCUCACUGCUUCUGUGUCGUAUGUAUGUGUGCUGUUUGUACACAUGUGCACCUCGAACCCCCAACUAAACUGUGAGCUCCCUGAGGGCAAGGGGCUGUCAUUUCUUCUUCAGAUCCAGGUGGGUCUAGCACAGGGCUGGGCUCCUAACUCUCAGGAAAACACUUGUCAACGGGCUGAUGAAAUUAAUGUUGGAGGCUGGGGUGGUAGCGGGAGGGAAGAAAGGGUGGAGCACACGUGUAGCUAGCAGUGCAUUAGGUUGAGUGGUGGGCUGGCUCCUUGGAUCAAUAACAGAUGCUCGAGAGCCUCAGGGUAGAAGCAGAAGGGACACCCCGCCCCUCAACACGCACCAUGAUACACAGGAGUGCACUUGAAUGGAUGUUCACAUUGGAUGUUCCUGAGGUUCCUGACAUCUGUCGGAGCUGACUCAAAUAAAAGUU